UACAGAGGGUGCGAGCGUUAAUCGGAAUUACUGGGCGUAAAGCGUGCGUAGUCGGUUAUUUAAGUCGGGCGUGAAAGCCCCGGGCUCAACCUGGGAAUUGCGUUCGAUACUGGAUAGCUAGAGUUCGGCAGAGGGAAGCGGAAUUUCGGGUGUAGCGGUGAAAUGCGUAGAUAUCCGAAGGAACAUCAGUGGCGAAAGCGGCUUCCUGGACCAGAACUGACGAUCAGGCACGAAAGCGUGGGGAGCAAACAGG
rnacentral:rRNA from 1 species